AGUCAUUUUCUCCCCAAGCUAAUACUUACAUGCUUAUCCUUUGAGGACUGUUCUGUUAUGACAACCACUGGUCAUCCCUGUUGGUUAAUGCUGCAUUUAUUUACAUAUUUGUCUCUGCAAACUGAAGUUUCUCACUAUUUUAAUUUUGUUGAAUAAAAAGUAAUGCAUUUGACGGUAGUAUAUUCAAAGUCAAUGCUUAUCUACACAACCUUUGAAUGGAGCCAUUUUGUGGCUUCCUAUUUUGUUCUUUUAGCUUUUAUGAUGGGUAUCCUCAAGUUUGUUUCUACAGUUUCUGUUUUAUGAUACUGUUAAAUGUUGUUACUACCUAGUGAAACCACCUGCCACCAAUAGGUAAAAGUACAUGUCCAUGGUCCCUGAACUUGAUGAGUAACUCUUUGUUUAGGUUAAUUUAGUUUCAUUUCUCCCUAAUUAAUUAAUGUUGUAAAUUGGUUAUGCUAUGAAUGAAUUGUUUAAUAAAGGCAGAUGCUCAGUCCAACCAGUGUCUUUAUGGAAGUCUUUAAAUAGAAUGAGUGGAAUUUUGCUCAAGUAUAGAAAGGAAGGAAAGUAUAUGUGAGUAGUCUAAACUGUGGCCUACGCAUCGUUCUUGGAUAUAUUUACUCUGUUUAAUGAACAUGCCAUUCUUGGAUAUGUAUACUCUUUUUAGUGAAGCCAAGAAAGUCAUUCCGUUAGCUCUAUAGAGAUGCAUUAACCAUGAAGUUUAAAUACUUCUUUCCCAGUCAAAGCUCUUUGGCAUGGUCAGUUUUUACCACUUCAGCAGCUUCAAGAUGAGAGCAACCCAGAUUUUGUUGUUGAAGUUGUUUUUCGCUUCUUUUAUGAUUCUAAAAAACUGCUCAAUGGUCUCACCAUAGCUUUAGAUCAGCUAAAUUUAGACUGCUAAAAGUUUGAUGCACAUGUUCAUCAGUUGAAGGGUAGCAGCUGCAGGUACUUAUAAAUUUUCCUUUCUUCAAUGUCAAGCCUUGACAACUUAAGCUAUAUUUUUUUAUCUGCUUUAUAAAGCUUUUCUUGUUCCCUUUCUUUGGAAAUUUCUGUUUUAGUUGAACCCCAUAGUUGCACUACAAAACGUAUUAUUCAAAUGGGAAAAAGUAUGACUUGUUAGAUUUGACCAUUCAAGUGAUUGAGAUGUUAAAGUUUAAACAAGAUUUUUAGAAAGUUGGGUUGCUCUUGUUUUUGCUUAUUGUUGUUUGAUGAGAAUGGUUGUUGUGUGUGUCUGUGUGUUAAACAGCAUUGCUGCACAGAGAGUUAAAAAUGCUUGCAUUGCUUUUUGCAACUUCUUUGAGGAGCAGAACAUUGCAACGUGCUUGAGAUGUCUUCAACAAGUGAAACAAGAGUAUUACCUUGUGAAUUUUAGAUACUUUUUUAGUAUGGCAUACAAUAACACAUUUAGCUUUAUGCUAUAUUUGUUUGACAUUUUGAGAUAUUAUGUGUUUAUGACAAUUUUUAAUUGCAUGAACUUAAUUUUGAAUUU